rnacentral:lncRNA from 1 species
UCCCGGCUGCCCUAAGUUCAUCAUCGCUUCCGCAGGUUUAUUAUUUUUUCUUUUAUCCCAUACUGUAACUUUUAACUUUUAUCUCAUACUAUUUUUUUACCAUUGUGUAUACUAUCGCAAUUUUGCCUGCCACUUUUGUUCAACAAAAGCUUCUUUUCCUUUUCCGAUAUACAUUUUAUUCAUAUUUUCUUGCUUAAUAUCUUCAGAUCCGGAUAUUACCUUUUCCGAUCUGAAAGCUCUCCCAAAUUUUUCCCCAUCUUAUUUCUCUCUUAUAAGGGUUUCUCUCUGUGUUGACUUCUCUUUUUGCUUCAACUUCUCCAUUUUUUCAGCUUUUCUCGCUUCCAUAUUUUGUUUUUUUUAUAUCUGAUUUGUUUUCAAUCCACAUUUUAGUUUCCAAGUUUUUUUUCUCGCUUGUGAUUUAGUAUAUCCUAGCUACCAUCCUAAGAAAAAAGGCUCUGGAGACCCUCAUUAGCUCACUCUUCUUUCUCAUUUUACUCUGUAUUUUCUCAGAGAUCCGUUCUCAUUAUCUGAAGAACAAAACUUCGGAAAUCAAAACUAAGGAAAAGUUUACAAAAGAAGAGUCAAAGUUUUUUUUCGAAUUUAAAGUGUUUGCUGCAUAUUCUCUGAUAUUUGAAAGCUAGUUGAGUCAAAGAAAUUUUUUGGUUUAUGUUACUACUUCACUUUGCUGCAGCUGUAUUUUGAUUAUAUUGUCUUUCAGACCUUAUUUCGUCAUUUUUAUGUCGGUUUCCUGUUUGAGGUACGCUAUACUCAUCUAGGAUCGCUAUCGAAUUCAUAAUUAAAAUAUAAUUUUAUUCAUGUUACAUGUUUGUUUGAAUUCAUAAAGCCAGCACAUCUAGUUUUUAAAUUCAUAAAGCCAGCAUAUUCAACUCUGAUAUCUAAAAUUUCAGCUUUAAAAAC